GAUGAACGCUGGCGGCGUGCCUAAUACAUGCAAGUCGAGCGAACAGACGAGGAGCUUGCUCCUCUGACGUUAGCGGCGGACGGGUGAGUAACACGUGGAUAACCUACCUAUAAUACUGGGAUAACUUCGGGAAACCGGAGCUAAUACCGGAUAAUAUAUUGAACCGCAUGGUUCAAUAGUGAAAGACGGUUUUGCUGUCACUUAUAGAUGGAUCCGCGCCGCAUUAGCUAGUUGUUACGGUAACGGCUUACCAAGGCAAGGAUGCGUAGCCGACCGGAGAGGGUGAUAGGCCGCAUUGGAGGGGGGACAGGGUCAAGACUCCUACGGGAGGCAGCAGUAGGGAAUCUGCCGCAAUGGGCGAAAGCCUGACGGAGCAACGCCGCGUGAGUGAUGAAGGUCUUCGGAGCGUAAAACUCGGUUAUUAGGGAAGAACAAAUGUGUAAGUAACUAUGCACGUCUUGACGGUAACUAAUCAGAAAGCCACGGCUAACUACGUG
rnacentral:rRNA from 1 species